rnacentral:rRNA from 1 species
UAGGGAAUCUUCCGCAAUGGGCGAAAGCCUGACCGAGCAACGCCGCGUGAGUGAUGAAGGUCUUCGGAUCGUAAAACUCUGUUAUUAGGGAAGAACAAAUGUGUAAGUAACUAUGCACGUCUUGACGGUACCUAAUCAGAAAGCCACGGCUAACUACGUGCCAGCAGCCGCGGUAAUACGUAGGUGGCAAGCGUUAUCCGGAAUUAUUGGGCGUAAAGCGCGCGUAGGCGGUUUUUUAAGUCUGAUGUGAAAGCCCACGGCUCAACCGUGGAGGGUCAUUGGAAACUGGAAAACUUGAGUGCAGAAGAGGAAAGUGGAAUUCCAUGUGUAGCGGUGAAAUGCGCAGAGAUAUGGAGGAACACCAGUGGCGAAGGCGACUUUCUGGUCUGUAACUGACGCUGAUGUGCGAAAGCGUGGGGAUCAAACAGG